rnacentral:rRNA from 1 species
GACGAACGCUGGCGGCGUGCUUAACACAUGCAAGUCGAGCGGAAAGGCCCUUCGGGGUACUCGAGCGGCGAACGGGUGAGUAACACGUGAGCAACCUGCCCUGGACUUUGGGGAUAACCCUCGGAAACGGGGGCUAAUACCGGAUAUUAACCUUUGCCCGCAUGGGUGUUGGUGGAAAGUUUUUCGGUCUGGGAUGGGCUCGCGGACUAUCAGCUUGUUGGUGGGGUGAUGGCCUACCAAGGCGACGACGGUUAGCCGGCCUGAGAGGGCGACCGGCCACACUGGGACUGAGACACGGCCCAGACUCCUACGGGAGGCAGCAGUGGGGAAUAUUGCACAAUGGGCGGAAGCCUGAUGCAGCGACGCCG